GAAGUCCCUGACCACGAAGAUUUAGCAAAUCACGUUGUCCCCGAGUCAUGCGCCGUGUGUCGUGAGGCACAUGGUGAAGCGUUAUUCUUGGCCAUUCUUGCCUUAUUCCGUGAGCU
rfam:Cupriavidus basilensis strain 4G11 chromosome secondary, complete sequence.